AGGAACAUGAGAUUUCAUGAUUGUGUGCUUCUAGAAAACAGGAUCUGUUUGGUUAGAUAAAAGAUGUUAAUGGGUUAGAAAAAUCAACCCAAGCACUGUUCCUGAAGUGGGCUGAUUAUCUGUGGGACUUCACAAGCUGUGCUGUAGCUUGGAAAUGCAGGAGCUUCCUGAGUGCAGUAUCUCCACUGGACAAGUCUGUGGGAUGGUGUGUAAGAAAGUCCCUUUGAUCAUGCGGAGAAAAAUGGAGACUGCCAACUGAAACUCUCCAAGAAGAAGGGGAUGUCAUCAAUGCUGCAUCUAUAAUGUAGAACCAAGGACUUAUGUCCUUGACCCUAAUCUAAUAACUGUAUUGUCUGUGCAAUAAAGUGAAGGGGUCACGGGCUGUCUUUGGAUGGCUAUUAAUUUCUUUGAACUCUAGUUUUGGUACCACUAGACAAUCUGAUGGUGAUCUUUACUAAUUCAUGAACUAUCCAUGAAAGUACUUUAAGCAACAAUGUUAUCUCCUAACAUGUAUGAUGAGGGGAAAGCUGGGUAUCUGUACUGGUAAGUCUUUAUGGCCAAAUCAUGCUUUGCACUAACCAAGAUGCUGUGGUUGUAAUGCACAGGUUAAA